rnacentral:lncRNA from 1 species
GGUAGGGGUAAGGCUUGUCUACAUAUUACCCUCCCCAGACCCCACCUGGUGGGAGUAUACUGGGUAGUUGUUGUUGUUGUUGUUGUUGUUGUAUGUAGUAUUGGAUUUGAAGUCAAGUUCUUUUAUCUGUGCUUAUUUACAUUUGAAGUUGGCUUUGUUCCUUGGAAGGUGAAAGGAUAAAUAUUUCCGUGGCUCAAUUUGUUACUUGGAUUCCUGAAUUUCAAGUUUUUCUUUAAUAGUUAAAUAAGUAUCCAUGCGCAUGUUAAAUUGCCUUUUAAAGUGACACUUUUAAGUGUAUUAAGCAAACAAAAAAAGGGUCUAAGGUUAUUUUUCUCAUGUCUACGAAUGAUGAGAAGAGGCCUAUCCACAUGUAAAUGCUAACUGCUUUUAGUUUCCAGUUUCAGCAUAAAGCUUGAAAGCUAAAAAGUUAUAUUCAUUUUGAGCACCUUCAUGAGGAUUUGUAGCAAGUAAUUCUAGCCUACUAAUGUCUGUUCAAAUGUAUUUAUUUGUUUUCCUUUAGUUUAUAUUUCAGUUAAAGCUUUUAUUUUGUGUUUUAAGUAAGUGUAAGUGAUUCAAUUUAAAAGUGGCUUGAGACCUUUUUUUUGGAAUAUCUUUUUCUCUGUUAGUCCAGUUUAAAGGUUUUUUUAAGGUUAGCUUAUAUUGAUGUCGUAAACUUGUUAGUUUGUAUAGAUGUUUAGUAUAGUAAAUAAAGAGGAGAAUUUCAGAUCAUUUUUUUUUCUUGCAUUUGGAAUAGUUUUAUGAUUCAGAUAGAUAUGCUAUCGUCAAAUUUAAAGAAUAAAAAGAAAUGGUAUAAGUUUAAUUAAUGUGAUCUUUAAAUGGUUUAUUUAUUUAUAUAUUUUACUUAUCAUUUAUUAUACUUAGUUUUAUUUUCAUAUUAAAAGCUUCUUGUUAAUCAUGACUGAACCUUUAGAUAAGUUUAGGCGUGGACUCAUCCCAUUGACAGAAAGGAAAGAAAAAUUCUAAAUCAAUUAGAUUAGAUCCUUCCCUUAAAUUAAAACAUGUUACUUAAUCUUUUCUAAUAAUUAAUUUAAGCGAUAGGCAAUUUUAGGCACGUUUGAGAUGUAGACCAUGUGUUCUUACAUGAUCCUUGAUCGAUAUUUAUUUGGUGAAGUAGUUAUGUGUGUAUUCCCACUCUUGAAAUCUUUAAUAUAAUUUAUAUUUAAAUCAUGUGUUCCGACGCAUUCCUUGGUUUAGUGCAUAUAAGCAAUAGGACCUUGUGUAUUUGCAUGCUCCUAGACCAAAAUUUUUAAUUAUUAAGUGACAAUAAACAAUAAUAAUACAAGGCAAAUAAAAAUACUUUAUCCGAAAAUAAUUAAAGUUAUUUUUUAAUUAAUAAAAGUGAUCGUGCUAGAACUACGGGAUUUAGGGAGUGGCUUAACUUUCUCCCUGGUCAAUAGAAUUUCUUACUCUAUCUUCUAUU